GACGAACCGAGCGGACGUUGUUCGGAAUCACUGGGCUUAAAGGGCGCGUAGGCGGGCUGUCAAGUUUGGGGUGAAAUCCCGCGGCUCAACCGUGGAACUGCCUCAAAUACUGACGGUCUCGAGGGGGAUAGGGGCGAGCGGAACUAAUGGUGGAGCGGUGAAAUGCGUUGAUAUCAUUAGGAACCCCGGUGGCGAAGGCGGCUCGCUGGAUCUCUUCUGACGCUGAGGCGCGAAAGCUAGGGGAGCAAACGGG
rnacentral:rRNA from 1 species